AUGGCUUUGUUCUUUCUAAGGAAAACCUUAGUCUUCUUAAUUCUUUCUAAGGAAAACCGUGAUGACUUGCUGAAAUUUUUGACAGUUUGGGAGGCAACUGUAGAGAUGAGGAAAUAUUAAAUAAUACUGGAUACUGGAUUUAGAUUAAGAAAGUUUAGUUUGAAUCUCAUCUCUUAUACUGCAAGAGUCACUAUAGUCUCUAAUCCUUCAUCUGUGUAUAUGUAAAAUUGGUGUAUGUUUCAGUAGCUUCACUUGUACAAUAUAUUUGCUCUCUGACUAGACUAUUGAGCAGCGAAUGGGCUUUUUUCUUCUGUUUCUUCAGUGAGGCCCUUUGGUGGUUGUUGUUUAAUAAAUGUGAAAAUUCAAUCAUAUCGUGUGAUCAAUAAAGAAACUCACUCUCAGAAAGGUGACACCUCAUUCCCAGCCACAUAACUGGUUUGGAUACAAGUUGAGGAUCAGACCUAGGUCAAGAGAACAUGUAGGAAUAGUUUCAGUUUAUGCCUCUUGUUUCAAUGUUACCUGUAGAGCCCUAUCACCCUCAUAAAUGUCUCUGGCACCUGUCCUGGUGCUCAUUUCUAACAUGCUGAGUGGCAUGUCUGAAGGAUGCGGUAAAAUUCCCACACUCUCAAGGAGCCUCUUUCUUCAUCUACAACCUGAUCCCUGUUUUGCAAAGGAAAAUGUCAGGGAACUGGACUCCUUGGAGUUGGAGUCGUUUGGAUUAGU
rnacentral:lncRNA from 1 species